rnacentral:lncRNA from 1 species
GCUGUUUUUUGUUAUUAUCUUGAAUAUUAUUAUAGAUAGAGAUAAACUGUAAAAAGCAAUAAAUGUCGGCAAAGUAAGAUCUACAAAUAAGUCAACAUGACCGAAAUGGUCAGUUGACCCCUUAAGAAGUUAUUGCCCUUUAUAGUCAAUUUUUAACCAUUUUUCGUAAAUCUUAGUUAUCUUUUACAAAAAUCUUCUCCUCUGAAACUACUGGGCCAAGUUCAUUAUAGAUAGAGAUAAUUGUAAGCAGCAAGAAU